GAUCACUUCUUAUUAUUGUUCUCUCUUUUCUUUCACAAACAGGUUGAGUUUGAAGAACAAGAAAAACAGUAGAGGUCUACCUAUAUGGUUCAAGAUGAUGAUCAUAAGUGCAUGCAUCAUUUGCAGAUUCUCAUCCAGGAUGAUGCAGUUUUACAAUUUCCAUGGAGGUGAUUGAUGAUGAUAAAUAAUUGGUGAAGUAGGCCUAAUAGAACAGCGACUAGACCACAAAGAGAAAUACAACCUACAGCAGUUAUAUGAGACUGGUGUAACAGAUGUUUUCAUUCAAGAAAUCCAACAUGAAUUUGUACGGAACUGCUUAUAUACCCCCACUCAUGAAUUAUUAAACUUAAUGCACAAAGGAUUUCCUUCAUAAGUAUAUUAUCGAAAUGAGAAUAUUGUUUUCUUGUUUCAAAGGGCAAUCGUCAUGGUGACCAUAAAACGGGUCCUUCUCAGGUGAAAGGGGCACAGAACAAGUUCUUUAGGAGCACUUUUCUUGGGUAAAAGGGGGCAGUGAUUCGAGAAAGGGCACUUAUAAAAAGGCGAGGGGGCACUCUUUAACACAUGAAACGGGCCCUCAGAUGAAAGG